ACACAUGCAAGUCGAACGAAGCACUUUAUUUAGAUUCUUUCGGGAUGAUGAAUUUAGUGACUUAGUGGCGGACGGGUGAGUAACGCGUGGGUAACCUGCCUUACACAGGGGGAUAGCAGUUAGAAAUGACUGCUAAUACCGCAUAAAACAGCAGCACCGCAUGGUGCAACUGUCAAAGAUUUAUCGGUGUAAGAUGGACCCGCGUCUGAUUAGCCAGUUGGUGGGGUAACGGCCUACCAAAGCGACGAUCAGUAGCCGACCUGAGAGGGUGACCGGCCACAUUGGGACUGAGACACGGCCCAAACUCCUACGGGAGGCAGCAGUGGGGAAUAUUGGACAAUGGGCGAAAGCCUGAUCCAGCGACGCCGCGUGAGCGAUGAAGUAUUUCGGUAUGUAAAGCUCUAUCAGCAGGGAAGAAAAUGACGGUACCUGACUAAGAAGCCCCGGCUAACUACGUGCCAGCAGCCGCGGUAAUACGUAGGGGGCAAGCGUUAUCCGGAUUUACUGGGUGUAAAGGGAGCGUAGACGGAAGUGCAAGUCAGAAGUGAAAGCCCGGGGCUUAACCCCGGGACUGCUUUUGAAGCUGUGCAUCUAGAGUGCAGGAGAGGUAAGCGGAAUUCCUAGUGUAGCGGUGAAAUGCGUAGAUAUUAGGAGGAACACCGGUGGCGAAGGCGGCUUACUGGACUGUAACUGACGUUGAGGCUCGAAAGCGUGGGG
rnacentral:rRNA from 1 species